GGGGCGUAAGGCUGAUGCAUUCGCUAGACAGGCUGUAUUGUAGUUGAACAUUUGAGGCUUGCUGACUUGUCGUGCAUAACGUUGCCUUCCAUGCUGUGUUGUGUGUCUUCAGUGUUGUGUGUCUUCAGUGUUUAACUGGUUGCCCGCCUCCUGCGGGGAUAUAAAUCAAAAUUGUAACCCGUGAAUGCGGGUCCGUUUUCCCCCUUCCCAUCUAUGGUGCGGCUUCCCCUUUCCCUCUGUGUGGCUCGGGCCCCUUUGGCCCUGCCUUCCUUCCAUUCGGCCCUGGCACAUUUGCCACCAUCAGUGCGUGCGCAUGGGGGGCGGUUCCCGCGACCCAGAACCGAACUUUGGUUCUUGCUCUCGGUGGCAGGAUCCUAUGCGCACACACUUUUGUGUUCGCGCACGUAGGCGCGGAUACAACGAGUUGCUGAUACUGCAGUGGUCCUAACCUGAGCAGCUGGUUGGGAGGGUGGUUGGUGGAUAGCCUUCCUUGGUCUGGUCAAUACCUUGCAGUGGUGCAGGUGGCUGGUCCUUUGUUGUGGAGGGGUGGGGAACUGGGAGUUCUAGUCCUCAGUGGAGGAAGCCCAGAAAAGCCAAGAAUGGAACUAAUCUCUUCUGCUCCUUUAGUCAUUCCACAGGAGGGCUGGAGAAAGGCCUGCUGAUCCUUAGCGGUGGGAGAAUCCUGGACGUCCUUCCGGACAGCCUCCUUAGUCAAGUUGCUGGAGACACCUGAGCGUGUCUGACAAGGAGAGAAAGGAAAGGAGGCUUCUGAAGCUGAGACCAGUUCCAGAGAGAUUCCCAGCAAACAGAAGAUCUGUCUGAACGAGUCUUCACAGAGUGAGGAUGCAGACAUGAAUCUCCUGGGCUGAACAAGACAUUGUCCUUCAAGAAUUCAUGUGAAAGAGCUUGUUUGCAUGUGUGUUACAUUUACUGAUGAAGAAGAUAUGCUUUUGGGUUUGAAAUGUGCUAGGUUGCGUGUGUACUUGAAUUGUACUUGAAAUAUUUGAAAUCAUCUCUGAUUGUUGAACUGUAUAGUAACAGAAAUGGUUAUGUUGAAGCAAAUGCUGCAUUUGAGUUGCAAUAUGACUUGUUUGCAAUGGGAGUGUGCUGUGACCUCACGUCAAUUGUAAUUCUUUGGCUCUGGGAAAUAAAGCGUGUGAGUGGUUUUUUUGUAA